GAUGAAGAACGUAGCGAAAUGCGAUAAGUAAUGUGAAUUGCAGAAUUCAGUGAAUCAUCGAAUCUUUGAACGCACAUUGCGCCCCUCGGUAUUCCGAGGGGCAUGCCUGUUCGAGCGUCAUAUUAACCACUCCCGCUUGCGGGGUCUUGGGCUUCGCCUCCGGGCGGGCCUUAAAAUCAGUGGCGGUGCCGUCGGGCUCUACGCGUAGUAAAUUUUCUCGCGAUAGGGUCCCGGUGGAUGCUUGCCAACAACCCCCAACUUCUUAAGGUUGACCUCGGAUCAGGUAGGGAUACCCGCUGAACUUAAGCAUAUCAAUAAGCGGAAGGA
rnacentral:misc_RNA from 1 species